rnacentral:lncRNA from 1 species
UUGUGUAGAUUUAUGACCUUUUAUCUAUCUAUUUCGACCCUAGAUUUAUAGGUAGAGCUAUUUAUUUAAAAAAAAAAAACGAAAAAGAAGGAAAAAGAAAAAAAAUAAUAUAUAAAAAAAAAAUAUAUAUAUAUAUAGGUGUUAGUUAGGUGGAAUCUGAACAAGACUUGGUGGCUACAACCAUUAAGGCUUGCUUCAUAAGGAUUCCAACAAAAAUAAUUCGAACGGGACUUGGUGGCGGCAAUCAUCAAGGU